GGGAAGCGUCGGGUUUUAGGCUCUGAGAUUAAGGUACGCUGUCGCGUUUUGUGCACUAAGGUGGUAAUUGGGGCAGAACUUUCCGGCUUAGUUAAAAUGCAGGGGUUUCAAGAGACUUGUAGUGGUAUGUCCACGUCCGCUUUGAAAACCUCUUGGUUGGAAAACCUGAGGGGCCUUAGGUGUUCCUGAGGUCACGAGGCGGCCACGUGCAGCCCUGGGUGGCGAGCCUGAAGCCGAGCGCGCCCGGGUCGUGGGCCCUCGGGCAAAGGUCGCGAAACCCGCUGUCGGUGUCAAGUAGCCAUCUUGAAUCUACUCCGCCACUGUUAAAUAGUAACACCGCAUCCUGAAACUCCCCCAUUUAGAUCCGGAAGGAGGCUGAACCAACUGUCCGAUGGAUGAUAGAAAACAUGACGUGAUAAUCAAGAAAUUAAGGUGAUAUGGGUGAAGUCCUGUUUGUUUAGAAACCUGUGGUGUACUGCCAAAAGGUGAUCUUAAAUCUCAAUAGCUCGGGUAUUGAGUGCAAAUAAUGUUCUGGAAACUAUCAGUGUGGUGUUUUC